GUGAAGGUGGGAACAGCACACUGCCCUCGAUGGCCCGGGGCCCGGGGGCCAAGAUUAAGAGAGCCUCGGAGCUCCCUUCCCACCAGGAAAGCAUCUUCCCCAGAGGGCUAUUUGCUGCUCCUGAAGACCAGCCACUGCGUCUACUGCUGGUGAAUGAAAGCAUUUCUGCUACCGCCUCCCGCGCAAGCCCUCUGCUGUGUCCUCGUCUGCCCCAUGGGUUACUAAUUUCGAGGUUAAUUAUGUGUUGAGCAGCUGCUGGGUGCUUCCUAUGCGCCUACCCUAAGGGUGAUUUUAAAAUGAAAAUUCAUCCAGCUUGUUUACACCUGUGACCGCAAGUGCAGUUGAGCGCAGACUUUGGUGGUGCUCGGGAUCGCAGGGCUGAGCUUGAGGCCGAUUUCAGGCUGCGGCAAGGCGGACACCACCUAGAGUUGUUGAGAGUUGUGCGAAGAGAGGAGUGCCCAGCCACACUGCUGCACAGAGCCCGCAUGCUGCUGCCCCACAACCCCUAUCUGCCACCCGAGGUGACACGGGCUCUGAGCCAACGGUGGCUCACAGGGACCAUUCAGACCCAUCUGGGAGGUCACAAGCUGGACAGGCUGGAACAGGACCAGAAGGGCGGGAUCCACUGCCAAAUCCUCGGGACACAUGUGGAAGCCACACAGAAUGUGAAGUACCAACCUCAGAGCAGAAAUGCAAACCCAGGUUCAUUGUCUAAGCGUGAGAUAGACGCCCACCUUUCUGAAAUCCCUGACGUCAGUGUGCCCGACAGCGCUCAUGGACCUAUCUCCCCUGAGACUCUGGGCAGUCCCCAGCCCAACACCCAGCCAGGGGGCAGCUCCCCUCCCACCCGCCCCCCUCCAUCUCUGCAUUGCAGUUCAUGAUAGCAAGGCAACUGCAGUUGGUGACACACUGCCUCGGGAAGUGAUCUGACCACUUCCCAGGGACACUCCACACUCCCUCAUGCCCGCCCCUUCUCAGAGGGGCUCCACUCUGGUCGGCAGUGACUGCUCGCCACCCACCUGGGAGCUCCUCUCCCUGGCUCUGCAACCAAGGACUGUGCCCAUCUCUGCUCCCAUGUCCCUGCCACCAACAGUUGGUCACCUCUCGUGUUGUCUUCUGCAGUUACCAGCCGGCUGCCACCACUAACCAGUCCACACCCAGGCCAGUGGGUGCAGAUCCGAGGUUAUUAUGAGAACCAAAUGUGAAGGCUUUGCAUUUCCCAAGGUCAACAGUGACAAACUUAAUUGUUGCUUUCCGGUGGAGGAGAUGGAUGUCAAGCGCAGCCCAGCUCCCCACGUGACUAGAAUCACUGUGACUUCCACAAUGACAGACUGCUUUUGUCUCCGUGUUUGAAAAUUCUGACUUUUGCAAUUGGUGAAACCCCGUCAUCAGUCUGCAGACCUUCCCAACAGCACAUGCACCCCGCCCAUCCAGCCUCCCCCACGGCGACCUGGGCAUGAGUGUCCACCUGGGGGCCAAAGCCUUGGGUCAGCAGAGCCUUCGCAACUCCAAUCUCAGUGCCUCAACUCUUGUUCCCCAGCCUGAGCAAUAGGGGAGAGGACAGAACAAGGGGUGCAGUUUCCCUCGGGCCAUGAAGGAGGUACCAGGGACUUCACCCCUAGGCACCUGCUGUGUGCCAGGCAUCUCGCCUUUACUGACAUUAUUCUGGCCAUUGUUUUUGUUUGAAAAAUACUUUGAAGGCAAUGAUGUGGCCAUUAUUCUUGCUAGUUUACAGUUUAAGAACCUAAGCUCAGAAUAGCCUGUAACA